rnacentral:rRNA from 1 species
AUUGAACGCUGGCGGCAGGCCUAACACAUGCAAGUCGAGCGAGCGGCGGACGGGUGAGUAAUGUCUGGGUAACUGCCUGAUGGAGGGGGAUAACUACUGGAAACGGUAGCUAAUACCGCAUACCAUCAGAUGUGCCCAGAGGGGCUUAGCUAGUAGGUGGGGUAAUGGCUCACCUAGGCGACGAUCCCUAGCUGGUCGGAGAGGAUGGCCAGCCACACUGGAACUGAGACACGGUCCGGCCUCCUACGCGAGGCAGCAGUGGGGAAUAUUGCACAAGGGGCGCAAGCCUGAUGCGGCCAAGCCGCGUGUGUGAAGAAGGCCUUCGGGUUGUAGAGCACUUUCAGCUGGGUGGCGUUACCCGCAGAAUAAGCACCGGCUAACUCCGUGCCAGCAGCCGCGGUAAUAC